UACGAGGGGGCAAGCGUUGUCCGGAAUCAUUGGGCGUAAAGCGCGUGUAGGCGGCUUGGUAAGUCUGCUCUGAAAGCCCGGGGCUCAACCCCGGGAGGCGGGUGGAUACUGUCAAGCUCGAGUCCGGAAGAGGAGUGUGGAAUUCCUGGUGUAGUGGUGAAAUGCGUAGAUAUCGGGAGGAACACCAGUGGCGAAGGCGACUUCCUGGCCUGUUCUUGACGCUGAGGCGCGAAAGCUAGGGGAGCAAACGGG
rnacentral:rRNA from 1 species